CCCACCUCCUUCCUGUUUCCUGUCCUUUCAGACUCCCAACAGCCAAUGCUCCCAGUUCUAAUAAUUACAAGCACAUGUAAACACCACAUUCCCUCCUUUCUUAGGAAA